UACGUAGGGGGCAAGCGUUAUCCGGAUUUACUGGGUGUAAAGGGAGCGUAGACGGCAUAGCAAGUCUGAAGUGAAAGCCCGUGGCUCAACCGCGGAACUGCUUUGGAAACUGUUAAGCUGGAGUACUGGAGAGGCAAGCGGAAUUCCUAGUGUAGCGGUGAAAUGCGUAGAUAUUAGGAGGAACACCAGUGGCGAAGGCGGCCUGCUGGACGAUAACUGACGUUGAGGCUCGAAAGCGUGGGGAGCAAACAGG
rnacentral:rRNA from 1 species